rnacentral:ncRNA from 1 species
ACAGGACAAAGGCAAACCCGUCGAAAGGCGGGGACGCAAAGCCACCGGUCUCACGGAACAUCCAAGACAGCGGGGUUGCCCAC